rnacentral:rRNA from 1 species
ACUCCUACGGGAGGCAGCAGUCGAGAAUUUUUGACAAUGGGGGAAACCCUGAUCGAGCGACGCCGCGUGGAGGAUGAAGGUCUUCGGAUUGUAAACUCCUGUCAUUGGGGAACAAGGUGCAUACGUUAACUGCGUGUGCAUUGAUAGUACCCGAAGAGGAAGAGACGGCUAACUCUGUGCCAGCAGCCGCGGUAAUACAGAGGUCUCAAGCGUUGUUCGGAUUCAUUGGGCGUAAAGGGUGCGUAGGCGGCGCGGUAAGUCGGGUGUGAAAUCUCGGAGCUUAACUCCGAAACUGCAUUCGAUACUGCCGUGCUUGAGGACUGGAGAGGAGACUGGAAUUUACGGUGUAGCGGUGAAAUGCGUAGAGAUC